ensembl:lncRNA TTTY16 testis expressed transcript, Y-linked 16
AUAACUCUAAUCUCUAAAAUGGGCCCUGCACACAUGGCAGGAUAGUGACAUCUUCCUAGGCCAGUCACAUAUGAGAUGAUACAUUCUUCCAGGGCCAUGCUGAAAAGAAGGCAUUUUGACAUAGCACAGGGCAUAUAACAUAGGUAGUAUGGCUCCUCUCCUUGGUACCUGCACACUUGAAUAAUGACAUAUUGCUAGACCAGGUACAAAGGUGAUUGUACUAUUUUGCCAGGGCCAUGCUUUCAGGAAGGCUUUGUGACGUGUCUCUGGGUCUAUCAUCUAGGUGAUGUGACUUUCUUCUUAGUCCUGUACACAUGAAGCACUGUGACAUAAGGGUGGAACGGGCUCCUAGGUGAUGUAACUCUCUUGCCUGAGUUGUUUUCUAAGGGGACUUGUGAAUAUCUCAGAACUCAGAACCAGAUGAUGUGGCAAUUCAUCCUCGUUUCUGUAAAAAUAUAAAAUUGUGACAUACACCUAAAGAAGCACCUAAGUAAGACGACCCUCUUUUUCUGCCUGAGGCCAGCCUACUGGUGACAUUGGGCCAUAUUUCUGAGCCUAUGACCCAAGUGAUGUGACUCCCUAUUUCAGCCUGGGACUUUUCAGUGAGAAGAUUGUGACAAAUUGAUGAGCCCAACACUUAGGUAAUGUGACUCUUGUCUUGUAACUGAACAAUGUGCACAAAGAGGACUUUUGCUGUAUUUCCUGGCCCUGCACCUGGAUGAUGUUACUCUUCUUUCUACCUCAUGCAUAAAGAGAAAAUUAUGGCAUAUUUCUCGGGCCAGCACCAUAAUCAUGUGACUCUCCUGCCUGUACCAGAGCCACAGAAGUUUCGGAUCAAAGCAUGCUGAUCAAGCUUAUAUUGGGAUACAGUGAAUAGGAGAUAUUUCACCUGUCACCACUUUGUUUACAUCAAAAGGGGGAAUCUUGAUAAAUCACUAAAAUCGGCAUCCUGGUGAUUUGACUCUUCUUCCAUUGUCCUGCCCACAAGAAGGAUUGUGACAUCUUACUGGACCAGCACCCACCUAGAGCUCCCUGGAUCCUCAACAGUAAGGCUGACCUCCCUGUGUGACCUGCCCACCCAACUCCUGGAGCUGUACCAACAGGGCUUCUCUCUGGCAGCCAUGCACCCCUUUGUGCAGCCCACCCAUGGACAGGAGAAGACACCCCUGGAGCAUAUCUUUAGGGCCAUCCUCAUCAAGAAAACCGACAGAUCUGCAACUUGGGCAGGACUUGGCAGAGGCACCUAAUCUCCAUUUCUCAUGGUAUCAACUGGUAGUUUGGUGGUAGCUAGGGGAUCUGCUUUCAAGAUGAAACACUCACAUGGCUGGCAAGUUGGUGUUUACUGUAGGCCUCUCCACAGACUGCUAUUCCUCAAAACAUGGCAACUGAGUUCUAAGAGCAAACAUCACAAGAGAAGAAGGGAAAAGUUCAUGGAAUGUUGAUGACUAUCCUGUGGAAGUCACAUAAUGGUCUUUUUCAGCUACUCAUUGGUUGAGGCCAUCAUAAAGACCUAUAGUGGUUCAAGUAGAGGGGACAUGGGUUCCAACUCUUGAUGGAGGAAUGGCAAAGUUCUAGCAGACCAUGUGGAACAAGAGAUAUUGUUGUGGCCAUCUUUGGAAAAUAAAGUCUGCCACAUACA